GACGAACGCUGGCGGCGUGCCUAAUACAUGCAAGUCGAGCGAGCUUGCCUAGAUGAAUUUGGUGCUUGCACCAGAUGAAACUAGAUACAAGCGAGCGGCGGACGGGUGAGUAACACGUGGGUAACCUGCCCAAGAGACUGGGAUAACACCUGGAAACAGAUGCUAAUACCGGAUAACAACACUAGACGCAUGUCUAGAGUUUAAAAGAUGGUUCUGCUAUCACUCUUGGAUGGACCUGCGGUGCAUUAGCUAGUUGGUAAGGCAACGGCUUACCAAGGCAAUGAUGCAUAGCCGAGUUGAGAGACUGAUCGGCCACAUUGGGACUGAGACACGGCCCAAACUCCUACGGGAGGCAGCAGUAGGGAAUCUUCCACAAUGGACGCAAGUCUGAUGGAGCAACGCCGCGUGAGUGAAGAAGGGUUUCGGCUCGUAAAGCUCUGUUGGUAGUGAAGAAAGAUAGAGGUAGUAACUGGCCUUUAUUUGACGGUAAUUACUUAGAAAGACACGGCUAACUACGUG
rnacentral:rRNA from 1 species